rnacentral:rRNA from 1 species
AGGGGGGGUGCUACACAUGCAGUCGAACGAUGAACCUCCUUCGGGAGGGGAUUAGUGGCGAACGGGUGAGUAACACGUGGGCAAUCUGCCCUUCACUCUGGGACAAGCCCUGGAAACGGGGUCUAAUACCGGAUACGAGCCUGAGAGGCAUCUCUCGGGUUGGAACGCCCCCUUGGUGAAGGAUGAGCCCGCGGCCUAUCAGCUUGUUGGUGAGGUAAUGGCUCACCAAGGCGACGACGGGUAGCCGGCCUGAGAGGGCGACCGGCCACACUGGGACUGAGACACGGCCCAGACUCAUACGGGAGGCAGCAGUGGGGAAUAUUGCACAAUGGGCGAAAGCCUGAUGCAGCGACGCCGCGUGAGGGAUGACGGCCUUCGGGUUGUAAACCUCUUUCAGCAGGGAAGAAGCGAGAGUGACGGUACCUGCAGAAGAAGCGCCGGCUAACUACGUGCCAGCAGCCGCGGUAAUACGUAGGGCGCAAGCGUUGUCCGGAAUUAUUGGGCGUAAAGAGCUCGUAGGCGGCUUGUCACGUCGAUUGUGAAAGCCCGAGGCUUAACCUCGGGUCUGCAGUCGAUACGGGCUAGCUAGAGUGUGGUAGGGGAGAUCGGAAUUCCUGGUGUAGCGGUGAAAUGCGCAGAUAUCAGGAGGAACACCGGUGGCGAAGGCUGGAUCUCUGGCAGUUACUUGUAAUGCUUGAGGAGCGAAGCGUGGGGAGCGACAGGAUUAGAUACCCUGGUAGUCACGCGUAACGGUGGGAACUAGGUGUUGCGACAUUCACGUCGUCGGUGCGCAGCUAACGCAUAGGUCCGCUUGGGAGUA